UACGUAGGGGGCGAGCGUUGUCCGAAGUUACUGGGCGUAAAGAGCGCGUAGGCGGGUCUUUAAGUGAGGGGUGAAAGGUUCGGGCUUAACCCGGACACUGCCUUUCAUACUGGGGACCUUGAGUGCGGGAGAGGCGAGUGGAAUGGUCGGUGUAGCGGUGAAAUGCGUAGAUAUCGAUCGGAACACCCAUGGCGAAGGCAGCUCGCUGGCCUGCAACUGACGCUGAGGCGCGGAAGCGUGGGGAGCAAACAGG
rnacentral:rRNA from 1 species